GCGAAGCUGUUGUAAUGGUAGCAAAGUGGUCCUGCCGCGUCCAAAGACUGGGUUCGAAUCCUGGGCUUCGCA